rnacentral:rRNA from 1 species
UUACACAGGCUCGGCCUUACAACAACAAACAAAGUUUGACCUCAAAUCAGGUAGGACUACCCGCUGAACUUAAGCAUAUCAAUAAGCGGAGGAAAAGAAACCAACAGGGAUUGCCUCAGUAACGGCGAGUGAAGCGGCAAAAGCUCAAAUUUGAAAUCUAGCACUUUCAGUGUUCGAGUUGUAAUUUGAAGAAGGUAACUUUGGUUUUGGCUCUGUCUAUGUUCCUUGGAACAGGACGUCACAGAGGGUGAGAAUCCCGUGCGAUGAGAUGCCCAAUUCCAUGUAAAGUGCUUUCGAAGAGUCGAGUUGUUUGGGAAUGCAGCUCUAAGUGGGUGGUAAAUUCCAUCUAAAGCUAAAUAUUGGCGAGAGACCGAUAGCGAACAAGUACAGUGAUGGAAAGAUGAAAAGAACUUUGAAAAGAGAGUGAAAAAGUACGUGAAAUUGUUGAAAGGGAAGGGCUUGAGAUCAGACUUGGUAUUUUGCGUUCCCUUCCUUUUUGGUUGGGUUCCUCGCAGUUUACUGGGCCAGCAUCGGUUUGGAUGGUAGGAUAAUGACAUUGGAAUGUAGCUUUACUUCGGUGAAGUGUUAUAGACUUUGUUGAUACUGCCUAUCUAGACCG